rnacentral:rRNA from 1 species
CCUACGGGCGGCUGCAGUGGGGAAUAUUGGACAAUGGGGGGAACCCUGAUCCAGCCAUGCCGCGUGUGUGAAGAAGGCCCUCGGGUUGUAAAGCACUUUCAGUGAGGAAGAACGCCUGGUGGUUAAUACCCAUCAGGAAAGACAUCACUCACAGAAGAAGCACCGGCUAACUCCGUGCCAGCAGCCGCGGUAAUACGGAGGGUGCGAGCGUUAAUCGGAAUUACUGGGCGUAAAGCGCGCGUAGGUGGCUUGAUAAGCCGGUUGUGAAAGCCCCGGGCUCAACCUGGGAACGGCAUCCGGAACUGUCAAGCUAGAGUGCAGGAGAGGAAGGUAGAAUUCCCUGUGUAGCGGUGAAAUGCGUAGAGAUCGGGAGGAAUACCAGUGGCGAAGGCGGCCUUCUGGACUGACACUGACACUGAGGUGCGAAAGCGUGGGUAGCAAACAGGAUUAGAUACCCCAGUAGUC